rnacentral:rRNA from 1 species
GAUGAACGCUGGCGGCGUGCCUAAUACAUGCAAGUCGAGCGAACAGACGAGGAGCUUGCUCCUCUGACGUUAGCGGCGGACGGGUGAGUAACACGUGGAUAACCUACCUAUAAGACUGGGAUAACUUCGGGAAACCGGAGCUAAUACCGGAUAAUAUAUUGAACCGCAUGGUUCAAUAGUGAAAGACGGUUUUGCUGUCACUUAUAGAUGGAUCCGCGCCGCAUUAGCUAGUUGGUAAGGUAACGGCUUACCAAGGCAACGAUGCGUAGCCGACCUGAGAGGGUGAUUGGCCAACAUUGAACUGAGACACGGUCCAGACUCCUACGGGAGGCAGCAGUAGGGAAUCUUCCGCAAUGGGCGAAAGCCUGACGGAGCAACGCCGCGUGAGUGAUGAAGGUCUUCGGAUCGUAAAACUCUGUUAUUAGGGAAGAACAAAUGUGUAAGUAACUAUGCACGUCUUGACGGUACCUAAUCAGAAAGCCACGGCUAACUACGUG